rnacentral:rRNA from 1 species
GAUGAACGCUGGCGGCGUGCCUAAUACAUGCAAGUCGAGCGAAUGGAUUGAGAGCUUGCUCUUAUGAAGUUAGCGGCGGACGGGUGAGUAACACGUGAGUAACCUGCCCAUAAGACUGGGAUAACUCCGGGAAACCGGGGCUAAUACCGGAUAACAUUUUGAACCGCAUGGUUCGAAAUUGAAAGGCGGCUUCGGCUGUCACUUCUGGAUGGACCCGCGUCGCAUUAGCUAGUUGGUGAGGUAACGGCUCACCAAGGCAACGAUGCGUAGCCGACCUGAGAGGGUGAUCGGCCACACUGGGACUGAGACACGGCCCAGACUCCUACGGGAGGCAGCAGUAGGGAAUCUUCCGCAAUGGACGAAAGUCUGACGGAGCAACGCCGCGUGAGUGAUGAAGGCUUUCGGGUCGUAAAACUCUGUUGUUAGGGAAGAACAAGUGCUAGUUGAAUAAGCUGGCACCUUGACGGUACCUAACCAGAAAGCCACGGCUAACUACGUGCCAGCCGCCGCGGUAA